GACGAACGCUGGCGGCGUGCUUAACACAUGCAAGUCGAACGGAAAGGCCCUGCUUGCAGGGUACUCGCGUGGCGAACGGGUGUGUAACACGUGGGUGUUCUGCCCUGCACUUCGGGAUAAGCUUGGGAAACUGGGUCUCAUAUCGGAUAGGAAACCUCUUUCGUGUGGUUGUUGGAAAGUUUUUUCGGUUUAGGAUGAGCUCGCGGCCUAUCAGGUUGUUUGUGGGGUAAUGGCCUACCAAGGAGGCGACGGGUAGCCGGCCUGCGAGGGUGUACGGCCACAUUGGGACUGGGGUACGGCCCAGACUCCUACGGGAGGCAGCAGUUGGGAAUAUUGCACAAUGGGCGCAAGCCUGAAGCAGCGACGCCGCGUGGGGGGUGAAGGCCUUCGGGUUGUAAACUCCUUUCGCUAGGGACGAAACUUUUUGUGACGGUACCUAGAUAAGAAGCACCGGCUAACUACGUG
rnacentral:rRNA from 1 species